UGGUGGAGUGAUUUGUCUGGUUAAUUCCGUUAACGAACGAGACCUCGACCUGCUAAAUAGUACCAGCUAUCCUCGGAUAGUCUGGUCACUUCUUAGAGGGACUAUCGGCGGUGUACCCGAUGGAAGUUCGAGGCAAUAACA
rnacentral:rRNA from 1 species